rnacentral:rRNA from 1 species
UACGUAGGGCGCAAGCGUUAUCCGGAAUUACUGGGCGUAAAGGGCGCGUAGGCGGCCUACUAAGUCGGACGUGAAAUCCCUCGGCUCAACCGGGGAACUGCGUCCGAUACUGGUGGGCUCGAAUCCGGGAGAGGGAUGUGGAAUUCCAGGUGUAGCGGUGAAAUGCGUAGAUAUCUGGAGGAACACCGGUGGCGAAGGCGGCAUCCUGGACCGGUAUUGACGCUGAUGCGCGAAAGCCAGGGGAGCAAACGGG